CCUACGGGUGGCAGCAGUGAGGAAUAUUGGUCAAUGGACGAGAGUCUGAACCAGCCAAGUAGCGUGAAGGAUGACUGCCCUAUGGGUUGUAAACUUCUUUUAUAUGAGAAUAAAAUGUUCCACGUGUGGGAUUUUGUAUGUACCAUAUGAAUAAGGAUCGGCUAACUCCGUGCCAGCAGCCGCGGUAAUACGGAGGAUCCGAGCGUUAUCCGGAUUUAUUGGGUUUAAAGGGAGCGUAGGUGGAUUGUUAAGUCAGUUGUGAAAGUUUGCGGCUCAACCGUAAAAUUGCAGUUGAAACUGGCAGUCUUGAGUACAGUAGAGGUGGGCGGAAUUCGUGGUGUAGCGGUGAAAUGCUUAGAUAUCACGAAGAACUCCGAUUGCGAAGGCAGUUCACUGGACUGCAACUGACACUGAGGCUCGAAAGUGUGGGUAUCAAACAGGAUUAGAUACCCGUGUAGUC
rnacentral:rRNA from 1 species